UAACGGCGAGUGAAGCGGCAACAGCUCAAAUUUGAAAUCCGGCCCCCGCGCGGGGGCCCGAGUUGUAAUUUGCAGAGGGUGCUUCGGGCGCGGCGCCGGUCCAAGUUCCUUGGAACAGGACGUCCGAGAGGGUGAGAAUCCCGUCUGCGGCCGGCCGCCCACCCCGGGUGAAGCCCCUUCGACGAGUCGAGUUGUUUGGGAAUGCAGCUCCAAAUGGGUGGUAAAUUUCAUCUAAAGCUAAAUACCGGCCAGAGACCGAUAGCGCACAAGUAGAGUGAUCGAAAGAUGAAAAGCACUUUGGAAAGAGAGUUAAACAGCACGUGAAAUUGUUGAAAGGGAAGCGCUUGCCGCCAGACCUGCCCGCGGGCGUUCACCCGGCCACGCUGUGGCCGGGGCACUCGCCCGCGAUCAGGCCAGCACGGGUUCGGGCGGCGGGAGAAAGGGCCCGGGAAUGUAGCUCCCUCCGGGGUGCCUUAUAGCCCGGGUCGCCAUGCCGCCCGCCCGGACCGAGGACCGCGCUUCGGCCAGGGUGCUGGCGUAAUGGCGGCAAGCGACCCGUCUUGAAACACGGACCAAGGAGUCUAACAUCCACGCGAGUGUUUGGGUGUCAAACCCGGGCGCGGAAUGAACGUGAACGGAGGUGGGACCCCCGCGAGGGGCGCACCAUCGACCGAUCCAGAUGUCUUCGGAUGGAUUUGAGUACGAGCGUGGCUGUUGGGACCCGAAAGAUGGUGAACUAUGCCUGGAUAGGGUGAAGCCAGAGGAAACUCUGGUGGAGGCUCGCAGCGGUUCUGACGUGCAAAUCGAUCGUCAAAUUUGGGCAUAGGGGCGAAAGACUA
rnacentral:rRNA from 1 species